UACGGAGGGGGCUAGCGUUGUUCGGAAUUACUGGACGUAAAGCGCGCGUAGGCGGCUUUGUAAGUUAGAGGUGAAAGCCCGGGGCUCAACCCCGGAACUGCCUUUAAGACUGCAUCGCUUGAAUCCAGGAGAGGUGAGUGGAAUUCCGAGUGUAGAGGUGAAAUUCGUAGAUAUUCGGAAGAACACCAGUGGCGAAGGCGGCUCACUGGCCUGGUAUUGACGCUGAGGUGCGAAAGCGUGGGGAGCAAACAGG
rnacentral:rRNA from 1 species